CGCGCCCCAUAAUUCGAGUCUGCAGCGAACAGCCCGCGGCGACAGAUCCAUGGCGGCGGCGCUCCGGUCAAAGGCCGGCCUCGCGCUCCGGCCGCCCUCCCGCCUCUCUUCCGCCGCGCCCGCCAACUCCGCCGCCGGGGCGCGGGCGAUGUUCACCGAUGGCCGCAGGGCGGCGCCGACGGGGGGUGGCCGGAUAUUUGCUUUUCCUUCGUCGCCUUGACAGGAUCAAUCAUCUUCGCUUGGAUUGCGUUUGAUGGCGACGGGCCGGAUGGGUGCGUACGGGGACGAGGUGGAGGAGGACGACGAGGCAGAUGAGCUAGUCGUGGCUCGUGGAGUAGUUCAGGUAGACUAGUGCUUAAUGUGUGCCUUGGCUAUCUUCAGUUGUAAAGAAAUUGUUGCCUGAAUAAUCAAACUAUACUAUUAUUAUUCCACGCACAAUGGGAACAGAGAGUUUGAUGAGUU